rnacentral:rRNA from 1 species
UACGGAGGGUGCAAGCGUUAAUCGGAAUUACUGGGCGUAAAGGGUGCGUAGGCGGUUUAAUAAGUUAAGUGUGAAAGUCCUGGGCUUAACCUAGGGAAGUCAUUUAAGACUGUUAGACUAGAGUAUGGGAGAGGGUAGUGGAAUUUCCGGUGUAGCGGUGAAAUGCGUAGAGAUCGGAAGGAACACCAGUGGCGAAGGCGGCUACCUGGCCUAAUACUGACGCUGAGGCACGAAAGCAUGGGGAGCAAACAGG